CUUCUUCCUCCUCCUCUUUCCCCACCUCCUCCCCCUCUGCCACCGCCUCCUCCUACACUACCACCACUCCCUCCGGGGCACCCCGGUCCCUGCAGAGUCCCCGGCCCGUGCCGCCUCUGCUGCGGCCCCCUGGAUCCCGAGCUGGUGGGACAGACGGACGGACAGACACGCAGAUGCCUGGCGCCUAGCUCUCGGCCGCCGCUGCCUCCCGUGGCCCCGCGUCGGGGAAGCGGGGAUCGCCCCGGGAGCACCGCGAGGGUAAGCAGGCAGGGGUGGGUUCCGGGCGAAGGCUAACGGAGCUGUUCGGUUACACCAGUUCCCACCCCCAGCACAACUCCCGGCGGUUUCCCAGGCCCCAAACCGCCGCAGGCUGAGCUCUGUAGAUUCCGGAAUCCACGCUCCGCCAGCCGCCAGACCAGCAGACAACAGAUGAAGGUUCGAGUCUCGGAUCUGUCACUUACUGGCUGGGCAAACACCACAACCUCUCCCGACCUCCAUUUUGUCACCGGUGCAAAUGCGGCCAAGACUGCCUGCGAGGCAGUUGGAGCAGUGGAGGGUAGAAGUCAGGCCUGUUUCGAGGCGUAACAGAACCCUUCUACUUUUGGUGACGGUGGUAAUUACACUUCUCUGAGCGUUUUUCAAAACUCAUAGACCUGUACACUGUACAGGGUGAAUUUUACUGUGUGUUUUACAGAACCCGUUCCAUCCCACCCCCCCACCCCACCCCCCCCACCCCACCCA